GCGGAAGCUACUAAGGGCUUACGGUGAAUGCCUUGGCGCUAAGUGCCGAUGAAGGACGUGGGUCACUGCGAUAAGCCUCGGGAAGCCGUGAACAGGCGUUGAUCCGGGGAUUUCCGAAUGGAGAAAUCCGCUGUUGCGAACCAACAGCAUCCCAUACUGAACACAUAAGUAUGUGGAGGGGAACCUGGUGAACUGAAACAUCUAAGUAACCAGAGGAAAAGAGAGCAUUCCCUGAGUAGUGGCGAGCGAAAAGGGAACAGCCCAAACCAUCACUUGUGAUGGGGUUGUAGGGCCUGGCACAUAGGAGUUACAAAGCAGAUCGUUAGUGGAAUGGUGUGGGACAGCCAGCCAUAGAGGGUAACAGCCCCGUACGCGAAAACGAUUUGUCUCCUGCUAGGUACCUGAGUACUGCCGGGCACGCUAAUCCGGCAGGAAUCUGGGGAGUCCACUCUCCAAGGCUAAAUACACUUGGCGACCGAUAGUGAACAAGUACCGUGAGGGAAAGGUGAAAAGUACCCCGUUGAGGGGAGUGAAAUAGAACCUGAAACCGUAAGCUUACAAGCAGUUGAAGGGCUAAUAGUGGGUCGGUGCCCCGGAGAAAUUCGGGUGCGCGCCACUACGCCUGACAGCGUGCCUCUUGGAGAAUGAGCCUGCGAGUUAAUCUUUGUGGCGAGGUUAAGGGAGUAACACCCGGAGCCGUAGCGAAAGCGAGUCUGAAUAGGGCGUUCAGUCGCAAGGAUUAGACCCGAAACUGGGUGAGCUACCCAUGACCAGGGUGAAGCGAGUUUAACCGCUCGUGGAGGCCCGAACCUACUAAUGUUGCAAAAUUAGGGGAUGAGUUGUGGGUAGGGGUGAUAUGCCAAACGAACCCAGAGAUAGCUGGUUCUCCCCGAAAUAGCUUUAGGGCUAGCGCCAUGCGUUCAGUACCGGAGGUAGAGCACUGAAUGGACUAGGGGGCUUAGAGCUUACCAACUCCAAUCAAACUCCGAAUGCCGGUACUCCAGAGCAUGGUAGUCGGACUACGGGUGAUGAGAUUCGUGGUCAAAAGGGAAACAGCCCAGAUCAUCGGCUAAGGUCCCAAAAUUCAAGCUGAGUGGGAAACGAUGUGGGGUUACUUGAACAACCAGGAGGUUGGCUUAGAAGCAGCCACCCUUUAAAGAGUGCGUAAUAGCUCACUGGUCUAGUGAUCCUGCGCGGAAAACUUAACGGGGCUAAGCUUGAUACCGAAGCCAUGGGCUUCAGCGUAAGCUGGAGCGGUAGGGGAGCGUUCUAUCUGCAGUGAAGGUCGACCGUAAGGACGGCUGGAGCGGAUAGAAGUGAGAAUGCAGGCAUGAGUAGCGUAAAAUACGUGAGAACCGUAUUCGCCGUAUGUCUAAGGUUUCCGACGCCAGGUCAUUCCGCGUCGGGUUAGUCGGGUCCUUAGCCGAGGCCGAAAGGCGUAGGUGAUGGACAUCCGGUCAACAUUCCGGAACCACUUGAGUUGAGUGAUGGAGGGACGCAGCGAGGUAGGCCAGCCUGCGAUUGGUUGUGCAGGUGCAUGGUGUGGCAGGCGUUGAGGUCUGUAGGCAAAUCCGCAGACUGAGCUGAGACAUCGUGACGAGCCUCUAAGGCAUAAGUGAGUUGAGCCUUGCUGCCGAGAAAAGCUUCUAAACGUUGAAACUCGAGUGCCCGUACCGCAAACCGACACUGGUAGACGGGUAGAAUAUACCAAGGCGAACGGGAGAACCUUCGUUAAGGAAUUAGGCAAAUUAGCCCCGUAACUUCGGGAUAAGGGGUGCCUCUAGACGUGAAUGAAUAAUGAGCGUCCGGAGGCCGCAGUGAAAUGGUUCUAGUGACUGGUUACCAAAACCACAGGUCUCUGCUAAGCCGAAAGGCGAUGUAUAGGGGCUGACGCCUGCCCAGUGCCGGAAGGUUAAAGGGAGAGGUUAGCGCAAGCGAAGCUUUGAACUGAAGCCCCGGUGAACGGCGGCCGUAACUAUAACGGUCCUAAGGUAGCGAAAUUCCUUGUCGGGUAAGUUCCGACCCGCACGAACGGCGUAACAACUAGAACACUGUCUCAACGAAGGACCCGGCGAAAUUGAAAUGGCUGUGAAGAUGCGGCCUACCCGCAGCAGGACAAAAAGACCCCGUGGAGCUUUACUGCAUCCUGACAUUGAAUUUGGGCAUUGUCUGUGUAGAAUAGGUGGGAGUCUAUGAAGCUGGGGCGCUAGCCUCGGUGGAGACGUCAGUGAAAUACCACCCUGAUGAUGUUUAGAUCCUAACCCCACACCGUAAUCCGGGUGGGGGACCGUGCCAGGUGGGCAGUUUGACUGGGGCGGUCGCCUCCCAAAAUGUAACGGAGGCGCCCAAAGGUUCCCUCAGGCUGAAUGGAAACCAGCCGUAGAGUGUAAAGGCAUAAGGGAGCUUGACUGCAAGACCAACGCGUCGAGCAGAGUCGAAAGACGGGCUUAGUGAUCCCACGGUACUGAGUGGAAGGGCCGUGGCUUACCGGAUAAAAGCUACCCCGGGGAUAACAGGCUGAUCUCCCCCAAGAGUUCACAUCGACGGGGAGGUUUGGCACCUCGAUGUCGGCUCAUCGCAUCCUGGGGCUGUACAAGGUCCCAAGGGUCGGGCUGUUCGCCCGUUAAAGCGGUACGCGAGCUGGGUUCAGACCGUCGUGAGACAGGUCGGUCUCUAUCCGCUGUGGGCGUAAGGGAUUUGAGAGGAGCUGCCCCUAGUACGAGAGGACCGGGGUGGACAGACCUCUGGUGUGCCAGUUGUCGUGCCAACGGCAUCGCUGGGUAGCCAUGUCUGGCAGGGAUAACCGCUGAAAGCAUCUAAGCGGGAAGCUCGCCUCGAGAUGAGAUCCCUCUUCCCGUAAGGGAGUAAGAUCGCAGGUAGACCACCUGCUUGAUAGGCAGCGUGUGUAAGCGUAGCAAUACGUUGAGCUAAGCUGUACUAAUGAUCGAGGGCUUCCGUUG
rfam:Chloroflexi bacterium GWB2_54_36 gwb2_scaffold_2156, whole genome shotgun sequence.